GCCUUCUACCUGGUAAUGGACACAAGAAGCAGUUCUGGAAAGCUUAAUCUGCUACAUGCCUGUAGAGGGCAGGAUAGCUGAACCAGAGAUGUCUACCCAGAGAAGCCCAGUCUGGAUCAAGACAGACACGGCGUCUUGCUCUGUUGCCCAAGCUGGUCUCAAACUCCUGGGUGUAUGGAAAAGAAAGAGAGGUCAGACUGUUACUGUGUCUAUGUAGAAAGGAAGACAUAAGAAACUCCAUUUUGACUUGUACCCUGAAAAAUUGUUUUGCCUUGAGAUGCUGUUAAUCUGUAACUUUGCCCCAACUUUGAGCUCACAGAAACAUGUGUUGUAUGGAAUCAAGGUUUAAGGGAUCUAGGGCUGUGCAGGAUGUGCCUUGUUAACAGUAUGUUUACAGGCAGUAUGCUGGGUAAAAGUCAUCACCAUUCUCCAUUCUCGAGUAACCAGGAGCACAAUGCACUGCAGAAAGCCGCAGGGACCUCUGCCCAGGAAAGCCAGGUAUUGUCCAAGGUUUCUCCCUACUGAGAUAGCCUGGAUAUGGCCUCUUGGGAUGGGAAAGACCUAACCAUCCCCCAGCCUGACGCCCGUGAAGGGUCUGUGAUGAGGAGGAUUAGUAAAAGAGGAAGGCCUCUUGCAGUUGAGAUAAGAGGAAGGCCUCCGUCUCCUGCCUGCCCCUGGGAACUGAAUGUCUCAGUAUAAAACCCGAUUGUACAUUUGUUCUAUUCUGAGGUAGGAGAAAAACUGCCCUAUGGUGGGAGGCAAGACGUGCUGGCAGCAAUACUGCUCUGUUACUCUUUACUCCACUAAGAUGUUUAGGUGGAGAAAAGCAUAAAUCUGGCCUACGUGUAUAUCCACGCAUAGUACCUUCCCUUGAAUUUAUUUGUGACACAGAUUCCUUUGCACAUAUGUUUUCUUGGUGACCUUCUCCCCACUAUCACCCUGUUCUCCUGCCGCAUUCCCCUUGCUGAGAUAGUGAAAAUAGUAAUCAAUAAAUACUGAGGGAACUCAGAGACCGGUGCCAGUGCAAGUCCUCCGCAGGCUGAGUGCCAGUUCCCUAGGCCCACUGUUCUUUCUCUAUACUUUGUCUCUGUGUCUUAUUUCUUUUCUCAGUCUCUCAUCCCACCUGACAAGAAAUACCCACAGGUGUGCAGG
rnacentral:lncRNA from 1 species